GAUCCUGGCUUAGGAUGAACGCUGGCGGCGUGCCUAACACAUGCAAGUCGAACGGGGUUACUGGCAGCGGAGAUUCGGUCAAAGCAGCCUAUAACCUAGUGGCGGACGGGUGAGUAACGCGUGGGGAACCUGCCCUGUACUGGGGGGAUAACAGUGAGAAAUCACUGCUAAUACCGCAUAAGCGCACAGCAUCGCAUGAUGCAGUGUAGAAAAAACUGAGGUGGUACAGGAUGGCUCCGCGUUGGAUUAGCCAGUUGGCGGGUAACGGCCCACCAAAGCGACGAUCCAUAGCCGGCCUGAGAGGGUGAACGGCCACAUUGGGACUGAGACACGGCCCAGACUCCUACGGGAGGCAGCAGGUGGGGAAUAUUGCACAAGUGGGGGAAACCCUGAUGCAAGCGACGCCGCGUGAAGGAAGAAGUAUCUCGGUAUGUAAACUUCUAUCAGCAGGGAAGAUGAUGACGGUACCUGACUAAGAACGCCCCGGCUAACUACGUGCCAGCAGCCGC
rnacentral:rRNA from 1 species